GCUGCGCUCCCGCCCUCGGGACCAAGAGAGGCCCCGGGGAACCGCCUCAGCGCCGUGACACCGAGAGAGGCCCCGGGGAACCGCCUCAACGCCGUGACACCGACACAGCCUUCAGGGAACCGCCUCAGCGCCGUGACACCGAGAGAGGCCCCGCGGAACCGCCUCAGCGCCGUGACACCAACACAGCCUCCGGGCUCCCUGGUGGUGAGCAAAGGCGCUCAGGAAGCAUGACCAGCUGAUGACUCCAGAAGGGGUAAGCACAGAGGGACAGCCUGCUGGACACAUCACUAACCCUCAGGAAGACGCAGUAUCAAGAUAGAGAAGGCAGCAUUCCUCUCACAGUUCUGUACGAAGGUCAGGGCUGCCCGGUGAUUAAAGUUCUUCUCGAAGUCAUACUCCCCCAGCGGCUGCAGCUCCGACGGGUCAAUGUUCGC